rnacentral:rRNA from 1 species
GAUGAGAAGCUUGCUUCUCUGAUGGUUAGCGGCGGACGGGUGAGUAACACGUAGGCAACCUGCCCUCAAGUUUGGGACAACUACCGGAAACGGUAGCUAAUACCGAAUAGUUGUUUUCUUCGCCUGAAGAGAACUGGAAAGACGGAGCAAUCUGUCACUUGGGGAUGGGCCUGCGGCGCAUUAGCUAGUUGGUGAGGUAACGGCUCACCAAGGCGACGAUGCGUAGCCGACCUGAGAGGGUGAUCGGCCACACUGGGACUGAGACACGGCCCAGACUCCUACGGGAGGCAGCAGUAGGGAAUCUUCCGCAAUGGGCGAAAGCCUGACGGAGCAAUGCCGCGUGAGUGAUGAAGGUUUUCGGAUCGUAAAGCUCUGUUGCCAGGGAAGAACGCUUGGGAGAGUAACUGCUCUCAAGGUGACGGUACCUGAGAAGAAAGCCCCGGCUAACUACGUGCCAGCAGCCGCGGUAAUACGUAGGGGGCAAGCGUUGUCCGGAAUUAUUGGGCGUAAAGCGCGCGCAGGCGGUCAUUUAAGUCUGGUGUUUAAUCCCGGGGCUCAACCCCGGAUCGCACUGGAAACUGGGUGACUUGAGUGCAGAAGAGGAGAGUGGAAUUCCACGUGUAGCGGUGAAAUGCGUAGAUAUGUGGAGGA